UCCAGACUCCUACGGGAGGCAGCAGUGGGGGAUAUUGCACAAUGGGGGAAACCCUGAUGCAGCGACGCCGCGUGAGUGAAGAAGUAUUUCGGUAUGUAAAGCUCUAUCAGCAGGGAAGAAAAAAGACGGUACCUGACUAAGAAGCCCCGGCUAACUACGUGCCAGCAGCCGCGGUAAUACGUAGGGGGCAAGCGUUAUCCGGAUUUACUGGGUGUAAAGGGAGCGUAGACGGCAAUACAAGUCGGAAGUGAAAUACCCGGGCUUAACCUGGGAACUGCUUUGGAAACUGUAUGGCUGGAGUGCUGGAGAGGUAAGCGGAAUUCCUAGUGUAGCGGUGAAAUGCGUAGAUAUUAGGAGGAACACCAGUGGCGAAGGCGGCUUACUGGACAGUAACUGACGUUGAGGCUCGAAAGCGUGGGGAGCAAACAGGAUUAGAUACCCGAGUAC
rnacentral:rRNA from 1 species